AUGGUCAAGCUACAAAGGGCACAGGGUGAAUGCCUUGGCACUGGGAGCCGACGAAAGACGUGAUAAGCUGCGAAAAGCCACGGGGAGCUGCAAAUAAGCCUUGAUCCGUGGAUAUCUGAAUGGAGCAAUCCGGCGGAUGUAACGAUCCGUCAUGGCAUACUGAAUCCAUAGGUAUGUCAGGGGAACCGCCUGAACUGAAACAUCUAAGUAGGGCGAGGAAGAGAAAUCAACCGAGAUUCCGUAAGUAGUGGCGAGCGAAAGCGGAAGAGGCCAAACCGCAUGCAGCAAUGUGUGCGGGGUUGCGGACUGCAUAAGGUAUGUUGAAGUCUAGCUGAACUGUAUGGGAAGGCAGACCGGAGAGCGUGAGAGUCGCGUAAGCGAAAGACAGAGACAGCCGGCAGGAUCCAGAGUACCGCGGGACACGUGAAACCCCGUGGGAAGCCGGGGGGACCACCCUCCAAGCCUAAAUACUCCCCAGUGACCGAUAGAGAAUAGUACUGUGAAGGAAAGGUGAAAAGCACCCCGGGAGGGGAGUGAAACAGCACCUGAAACCCUGAGCCUACAAGCACAUAGAGCACGUCAAAGUGUGAUAUGGUACCUUUUGUAGAAUGGUCCGGCGAGCGUAUGUAUGCAGCAAGGUUAAGCGCUUAAGGCG
rnacentral:rRNA from 1 species